GGUAUACCAUUUACUUGCUUUGUAAAAGCUAGGUUUUUAACUUGUGCAUCAUAACGAUUUUGAAUUGGGUAUGUUGCAAGUCGGUAGAUUUGUUCCGCAGUUUCCCGGAUACCAGCAUCCUGCUUCGCGAGAACUACUCUACGUUGUUCUGGGGGGCUUAGACGAACAUCUGAAUCCGAUUUUGAAGAAGUCUUGCAUCGAUGGACACUGACAAAAUAUAGGAAGCUGCACAUGAAUGUUGGGUAUUUUAUCAUAAGUAGAAUAAUACAGAAAGAUUCUGUAGUAGUAGAUCUCUUUAGUUGGGUAUUGAAAUUGGCUUUGGUGUGUCUGGGGUCCGAUGGGGUCCCAGUUGCAUUUGAUCCUACUUGUUAUUUAUCACUGCCAAUGCCAGUCGAAAAGGAAGUACCAGUUGACCUGUAUGUGGCUUACAUGGAUCUUUUAGCAGAAAGUUUUCUGCUUUCAAGGGAUUUGAAGAGUUUGCAAAAUAUUAUGUCUAGGAUUCCACAGUUUUACGUAAUUCGAUUGACAAGAAAUUUAUACUGAUUCUUGUUUUAUGUUUCUAAAGGCAGAUUCGUAAUUAUAAGAAUUGGGAAAGAAAGUUGACGGAGGCUCAGUACCAAAACAAUUAUUUCCUCCUACCCGAUUUCCUCUUCACUUGUGAUAAUUCUGCAGCGGGUCAUGCAGAUACUGUGAUCAGCAGAGAAAGUUAAAAGUGCGCUGCCCGGAAAGCAAAUUUGGGGUAAAAGAAAAAAAAGUUAUUCCAACUAGUAAGCCAUUUCCAAAUUGAACCAACAAAAAGGUACACAGUGAGAUUUGCUUAACAAUUAUGUUUCUUUAAUUGAUUUUAAAAUUAGGAAAAGGUGGAAGGAAAAACUUGGUUCUCUAGUAGUUUUUUUAGUUAAAAUCCUUUUUGUGCAAAUUCAUUUUUUGAAAUUGUUUACUUCAUUUUCGAAUGGUUCCGUUCACAGUUGUUGUUCAUGUGAGAUGUUAUAUUUACCAGUUACUGCAUUAUAUUUACCACUAUUGCAAGAUGUUUGUUUAGGAAUUACUACUGUUUUGUUUAUCUGGAAUGUUGUGUGGGAAUCCAUCAGGAAUUGCUAGUCUGCAGUAAAUUUGUCAGGCUAGGUGAUGAACAUCAAUGAAUCAGAAAAUGUUUUGCAUGGGUGGUGAAUGUUCUGACAGUUUUAACAGUUGUGAUGGGGUGUAUUUCACUUCCACGCAUCAUGUAGAAGUUGGUGACCUGAUACAAUGAACAUGGAAAAAUCACCUGCGCCCACGUUGACGAUGAUACCUGUACUGAAGUGCUGGAAACUAAAAUUAAAUUUUCUUUACAAUUUGGUUUCAGGCUAUCUUUAUAAUUUUUUAAUAGUUUUGCAUUUAUUGAUGGAGUCCGCAAGCUCUUAGUUGAUUUCCUCCUUUAGAUACCGCCUGUCGACGAUUUGGCAGCCUCACACAAUUAAAGAACGUAUGCCAAAAAGCCAAAGUGAGCUCUUCCGAGCAGAAAAGUGACGGCGUAUUCAUUUAAUUGAAAAUAGACACAAGAUAACGCACAAUUGGCGUCCUUGUCUCAAUGGACAAAUUUUGCCGUGGAGCUUAUAACCGAAAUACCAUUGCAGCUGUUCAAAAAAAGAAAAGUGUAUUAUCAUACAGGUGUUGACUAGCUAACAAUCCAGAGAUACGUCAACUUGCGAAAUUUCUAGAUGUGUGUGAAGCGCAAUCAGCAUCCUUGUUGAACUGUGAACCCA